GGUUGUAGCUCAGUGGUAGAGUACUUGCCUAGCACAUGUGAGGCACUGGGUUCAAUCCUCAGCACCA
rnacentral:tRNA from 1 species